CUGGCCUCAUUACUCUAGUUCAUGGAAUUACUCCCUUGCAUGAAGGGGAGACAUUUGGGGAUCCCUAAUUUGUGGCAUAGUAUUAUUAACUAGGGCAAAACUGAAAUAGUUCCUUCAUUAAAAUUUAUAAAUGUCAAACAUUUACCACAAACUGUAUGUAGUGAGAACAGCUCAAUUUCUGUGCAUGCCUCUCCUUGUGACCCUGACCGGCAGGAGGUGGGGCCCCACGCAGGCAGCGGGAGUGGGUGAGGAAGGACAACUUGGAUACGAUCCAGCAGCCCCUCGGUUCACACACAGAUGACUGAAAUCAUGAGGAAGUAGCCCAAAGUGUUCAUGCAUUGCUCUGGGGGUAGGGGAAGGCUAGCACCUGCUGCAGGACUGCCUGGUCCUGGAGUCCUGAGGACAUCCUUGCCCUGUGAGGCUCCCCAGCCGUGUCCCUGCUUGGGCAGCAGGUCGGGAAGUGACCAGCCCUCUGAUAACCUGGCUGAUCCCCUUGCUAAGCUGAUAUGGUCAAGUGUGACCUUGCUGAGGGCCCUUCUGUGUUUUUAGGGAAAGGGAAAAGCUGGGGAACCAAAAAGAGAGGCCUGUGGUUCAGUAGUCGUCCAAGUNNNNNNNNNNNNNNNNNNNNNNAAGAGCCAGGCUAGGUCCCAGUGCCCUUUCUAAGCCUCAUGCUGGACUGGGGCAGGUGACCUCUCCUUGGAGCCUUGGUUGUCAAAUCUGUAAAGGCAACUAGCUCAGGGCCUACCUUCUCCACUGUGAGUGCUGACAGCACAGCCUUUGGGGACUAUGGUGGGUCUUACUUGCUGGCGGACAGUGGUGGUCGCUGUCUCCAUUGCCCGUGUGGCCAUCAGCACACUGCUGAUCUCUGAGCAUUCAGUGGCCAAUUGCUCUGAUCCCAGACACAGGAACCCAGCCGGGAGCUGGUGGGACAGUGUGAAGAGCAAAGAAUGAUGGGCGAGGAGAGGGGUUCUCCGCUCCUCAAGAAGCAGAGCCAUGGAGAAACCCCAAAGGCUUGGCAGAAAGCAGCCAGGAGAGCAGGGGUGAGGAGUGCAGAGCCUGGAAGGGAAUCUUCUGGACUACAGACCCUGGCGCACAGAGCAGCUGGCCGGGCUCUGGGAAGCCCUAGCUGUGUCCCUGAGGCUCCUUGUUCCUGCUCUGCGACUGUCUUUGGACGACGGAGCGUCCAGUUGUCCAGACGGACCGACAACGCGAGGUGCCUGCUUGCUGGCGUGGGCUCUGUGUUUGGGUCUGUUGGAUUUUAGAGCUAUGUACGGAUUCUCAGAGAAGACGAGUUCUCCAUUUUCUUCUGAUACGUAUUUUUCGCGCUGCCUUUCACGGUGUUUUUAAUCCGUCGACACAUUUUUCUCUUCUACACUGUGACCCCGUAUUCUCAACACCAUCUAUUGACUCCCCUGCUCAGCUUGAGGCUCCCCUUCGGGCAUGAGCACAGGGAUUUAUAAAGCUCUUUCCAGAAGCUCUGUUCUGUUGCCUUGGUUUCUGUGUUGUGGGGGCCCCACACUCUUCCAACUGCUGGACCUUUGGAGUCAUGUGCCUCAGUGACCAGCAGGGUGAACUCCCGUGCCUGCUUCUUUUAAGAACUGUCUUAGUGACUCAUACAAGUUUAUUUGUCCAUCCAAAUUAUAGAAUGAGUUUGUCCCAUUGCUAAAAAUUUCCCUGGAAGUUUUGUUUGGGGCGCGUUAAAUGUCUACUUUCCUAAGAGUGUGUUGUAGGGGUACCUGGAGUUUGCUUUAGUGUGGUGUGCUGAGACACACAGACAAGGACAUGGCAUGAAGUAUGAACUCUUGCUCACAGUUCCCUAGAAACAGGAGGCCUGCUUGCCAUGGGGGUUGGGAAGCUCCAGGCUCUGUUGGGAGGUAGUGGGAGCGGGUGGAAAAUGUAGCAAGACCCUUUACUGUGGUUUCCGCAGGAGGAGUAGAGGAAGCCGGGCAACCCGGCUUAGAAUUGGCCAGUGUGAGUAAUUCCAGUGGCUGGUGGGGUGUGGGGCUGUCCCUGGUUGUCCGGCAACUGCCCUGGGGUGAUUAGGGCUGGUGGGCAGUGGCCACAGAGAGGAGGGGUGGGAGUGGGCUCUGGAUGGCUGCUUUGCACAUGAAAGGUGAGUUAGCUAGUUCUGGGAAGGGCCAUCCCUGCAGGGUCCGCAGGCCCCAGGUGUCAAAGGUCAGAACGAAAAGACUUGCUUAGGGCAGAGUCACAGCACUGUAGCCAGAGGGACCCUCCCACAGGUCAGCAGGUCCUGGCUCGCUG
ensembl:lncRNA